rnacentral:rRNA from 1 species
CCUACGGGGGGCUGCAGUAACGAAUAUUCCGCAAUGGGCGAAAGCCUGACGGAGCAAUGCCGCGUGUAGGAUGAAGCGGUUUCGCCGUGUAAACUACUGUCAGGCCCCAGGAACCAUGACCGGGGCCAGAGGAAGGGUCGGCUAACUCUGUGCCAGCAGCCGCGGUAAUACAGAGGACCCGAGCGUUAAUCGGAAUCACUGGGCUUAAAGGGUGCGUAGGCGGACCCGAAGGUGCAUCGUGAAAUCCCCCGGCUCAACCGGGGAAUUGCGGUGCA